AUUGGGUUUGUAUAGAACAUUAUAUGCGAUGCUGUGGUAGCGCCGGUAAGUCUGUGUAUCGCAGCAGUAGCUUAAGGCUUCAUCAUAAAAAUCCACGUGUACGCACACAUCAUCAUAUAUCUGCGGCACCACGGCAAUGCUGCCGAAGCUCGAAGAACCUAUAGGUCUUGGCCUUGAGCCUUUGGGUAGGGAACCAUAAAAAUGGUAGGAUUUAAUUCCAGUGGCUCAAAAGGCUUAGUUCACAUUGACAUUAAAAAACCUUCUGUCAGUUCGUGACAGUUCACGGAAAAUCGGGGAACUAAAAAUGGUUCAAAAUCAAAAUAUUCGCUGGAAAAUUAAAAUUUAUCAUAAUAAACAUUCACCCGGGUUGAAUGGAACUUAUUUUUUGGAUAUACAUUUAUUUCUAUAAUAAACUGUGGGAACGGUGCAGACAUAAUUACGGGCGGGCCUUGCAAUCUUUUGUUGUAAAGCAGUUGAUGGUGGCUCCGGAUUGGUGGCGGAGACUCCGGGCGGCGGCAGCGUGGCACAGCGCGCACCGGAGAUGUCUGCUCCGAGCUCGUUUGGGAGCUGUAUAGCUCCUGGCUACUGUCCGAACACCUGGAAGAGGUACUCAGCACUUGCAGUCACAACGAGGUUGCUGAUAACUUGAGUGGUCGUGGCCAGGCACGAGUUGCUGUCAACAGUCAAUACUUACCGGAACCAAUAUGAAGUCACUGCGGAACCAAUGUGCCGUGCACAGGAAACGUAAACCCGAGGCGGACGACGACAUUUAUGGAUCGUUCACUAAUUAUAGUAAAAUAAAUAUUUGUACAUA